AUUAAACUGGUGCCAGCAUUGGGGAAAAGGAAUUGGUGACCUUUGCAUAUCGCUCCAGGGACUUGCUAAGAACUUCAGGAGCCAGGAUCCUGCAAAGCCGGGGAUCCAAGGAAAGUCUGCACCUUGUUUGGAUUCUGAGCGUCAAGGAGGGUUGUCUUGGAGAACCUGGAGAUGAGAAUCUUCCGGAAGGCCAGAAAAUCAGGCCGGGAGACCCUACAGUGGGGAACAGCACCCAGAUCAUCUUCCCACCACUGGGGGUGUCAGGAGGUCCGCCUGGUUUCUGAAUGUCUGGGUUCCAAGAGAAGGCUGUUUGGUGAACAUGAACUCAAGCAACCAGUGGUGGAUCCCUAUUGCCAUCCCACAGACCAAGCCAUCUCACCUGGACCAUCCUGACAGCCUCCUAAUGGCCCUUCCUUGUCCCUGGUCCUGGUCCCCUUGCACUGAGUACUCCUCCUUGCAGCCAGACUGUUCUUUUCCAGAUAAAAUCUGA